UCGAACGGAAAGGCCCUGCUUUUGUGGGGUGCUCGAGUGGCGAACGGGUGAGUAACACGUGAGUAACCUGCCCUUGACUUUGGGAUAACUUCAGGAAACUGGGGCUAAUACCGGAUAGGAGCUCCUGCUGCAUGGUGGGGGUUGGAAAGUUUCGGCGGUUGGGGAUGGACUCGCGGCUUAUCAGCUUGUUGGUGGGGUAGUGGCUUACCAAGGCUUUGACGGGUAGCCGGCCUGAGAGGGUGACCGGCCACAUUGGGACUGAGAUACGGCCCAGACUCCUACGGGAGGCAGCAGUGGGGAAUAUUGCACAAUGGGCGGAAGCCUGAUGCAGCAACGCCGCGUGCGGGAUGACGGCCUUCGGGUUGUAAACCGCUUUCGCCUGUGACGAAGCGUGAGUGACGGUAAUGGGUAAAGAAGCACCGGCUAACUACGUGCCAGCAGCCGCGGUGAUACGUAGGGUGCGAGCGUUGUCCGGAUUUAUUGGGCGUAAAGGGCUCGUAGGUGGUUGAUCGCGUCGGAAGUGUAAUCUUGGGGCUUAACCCUGAGCGUGCUUUCGAUACGGGUUGACUUGAGGAAGGUAGGGGAGAAUGGAAUUCCUGGUGGAGCGGUGGAAUGCGCAGAUAUCAGGAGGAACACCAGUGGCGAAGGCGGUUCUCUGGGCCUUUCCUGACUCUGAGGAGCGAAAGCGUGGGGAGCGAGCAGGCUUAGAUACCCUGGAAGUC
rnacentral:rRNA from 1 species